rnacentral:rRNA from 1 species
CAUCCUCCAAGGCUAAAUACUCCUGACUGACCGAUAGUGAACCAGUACCGUGAGGGAAAGGCGAAAAGAACCCCGGCGAGGGGAGUGAAAAAGAACCUGAAACCGUGUACGUACAAGCAGUGGGAGCACAGGUUUACCUGUGUGACUGCGUACCUUUUGUAUAAUGGGUCAGCGACUUAUAUUCUGUAGCAAGGUUAACCGAAUAGGGGAGCCGGAGGGAAACCGAGUCUUAAUUGGGCGUUAAGUUGCAGGGUAUAAACCCGAAACCCGGUGAUCUAGCCAUGGGCAGGUUGAAGGUUGGGUAACACUAACUGGAGGACCGAACCGACUAAUGUUGAAAAAUUAGCGGAUGACCUGUGGCU